rnacentral:rRNA from 1 species
AUUGAACGCUGGCGGCAUGCCUUACACAUGCAAGUCGAACGGCAGCACGGGAGCAAUCCUGGUGGCGAGUGGCGAACGGGUGAGUAAUAUAUCGGAACGUGCCCGGUCGUGGGGAUAACGUAGCGAAAGCUACGCUAAUACCGCAUACGAUCUACGGAUGAAAGCGGGGGAUCGCAAGACCUCGCGCGAUUGGAGCGGCCGAUAUCAGAUUAGGUAGUUGGUGAGGUAAAGGCUCACCAAGCCGACGAUCUGUAGCUGGUCUGAGAGGACGACCAGCCACACUGGGACUGAGACACGGCCCAGACUCCUACGGGAGGCAGCAGUGGGGAAUUUUGGACAAUGAGCGCAAGCCUGAUCCAGCAAUGCCGCGUGCAGGAUGAAGGCCUCGGUUGUAAC